rnacentral:rRNA from 1 species
GAUCCUGGCUCAGGACGAACGCUGGCGGCGUGCUUAACACAUGCAAGUCGAGCGGUAAGGCCCUUCGGGGUACACGAGCGGCGAACGGGUGAGUAACACGUGAGCAACCUGCCCCUGACUCCGGGAUAAGCGGUGGAAACGCCGUCUAAUACCGGAUACGACCUGUCACCUCAUGGUGGCGGGUGGAAAGUUUUUUCGGUCGGGGAUGGGCUCGCGGCCUAUCAGCUAGUUGGUGGGGUAAAGGCCUACCAAGGCGAUUACGGGUAGCCGGCCUGAGAGGGCGACCGGCCACACUGGGACUGAGACACGGCCCAGACUCCUGCGGGAGGCAGCAGUGGGGAAUAUUGCGCAAUGGGCGAAAGCCUGACGCAGCGACGCCGCGUGGGGGAUGACGGCCUUCGGGUUGUAAACCUCUUUUACCACCAACGCAGGCUCCCAGUUCUCUGGGGGUUGACGGUAGGUGGGGAAUAAGGACCGGCUAACUACGUGCCAGCAGCCGCGGUAAUACGUAGGGUCCGAGCGUUGUCCGGAAUUAUUGGGCGUAAAGAGCUCGUAGGCGGCGUGUCGCGUCUGCUGUGAAAGACCGGGGCUUAACUCCGGUUCUGCAGUGGAUACGGGCAUGCUAGAGGUAGGUAGGGGAGACUGGAAUUCCUGGUGUAG